rnacentral:rRNA from 1 species
CCUACGGGAGGCAGCAGUGAGGAAUAUUGGUCAAUGGGCGCAAGCCUGAACCAGCCAUGCCGCGUGCAGGAAGAAUGCCCUACGGGUUGUAAACUGCUUUUAUUUGGGAAUAAACCUUUCUACGUGUAGAAAGCUGAAGGUACCAAUUGAAUAAGCACCGGCUAACUCCGUGCCAGCAGCCGCGGUAAUACGGAGGGUGCAAGCGUUAUCCGGAAUCAUUGGGUUUAAAGGGUCCGCAGGCGGACCUAUAAGUCAGUGGUGAAAGCCUACAGCUUAACUGUAGAACUGCCAUUGAAACUGUAGGUCUUGAAUUCGGUCGAAGUGGGCGGAAUGUGUAGUGUAGCGGUGAAAUGCAUAGAUAUUACACAGAACACCGAUAGCGAAGGCAGCUCACUAGGCCUGGAUUGACGCUCAGGGACGAAAGCGUGGGGAUCAAACAGGAUUAGAUACCCUGGUAGUCCACGCCGUAAACUAUGAUUACUCGUUUUCGGCGAUAUACAGUCGGAGACUAAGCGAAAGUGAUAAGUAAUCACCUGGGAGUACGAUCGCAGGUUGAACUUAAGGAAAUUGAGGCGNGAGAGAGACGAGACGACGACGAGGAGGAGG